GAUCUUCUCCACCAGCGGGUUGCACAACUGGCCACCAUCAUUACCUUCAGCGAUAUUCGGCACCUUACUCGAGCUAAACAGGCCUCGCAGAUUUUGCUUCCCCAGACAAAGGCGACAUAUCCGCCGUAAAUGUUUGUUUACGUUUUUGGUCGCACGAUUUAACGCAAAACCAACAUCCCCCGCUCAAAGCAACCUGUGGACCCACGAUGGCCGAUCAACGGCGACGUGUCUUGGAUCUUUACAAAAGGCUCCAGUAUAUGGGUCGCGAGUAUCCGGGAGGGCCUGAGAAAUUUCGGCAGCGUUGCUACAACGCCUUUAAGCGCCAGAGCACCGAAACGAAUCCGUACAAGAUCCAGAAGGCCAUCGAUCUGGGCGAGUACGUUGUGAAAGAGAUCGAAGCACUCUACAGCCUGCGAAAAUACCGGGCCAUGAAGCGCCGAUAUUACGAUGAGAAAUGAUGAAAAGCUGGCCCGGUCAGAGCGUAGGGAGGGGUGAAUAUUGUCCAUUCCCUGGAAGGAGAGCGAUGGAGCUGCGUGCAGUGUGAUCAUUCGGUAGGCCCUGGUCUGGUGUUCCGGCGUUCAUCGUCGUCGCUAGCUAGUUGGACUUUGGACGGCCAGCUGUAGCAUAGCGGGAGUGAAUCCGAAACAUCUU